rnacentral:rRNA from 1 species
ACCCGUAUUGAGAACGUUACUUCAAACUGGAAUGAGUACAUUCUAAAUCCUUUAACGAAUAUCAAUUGUAGGGCAAGUCUGGUGGCAGCAGCCAAGGUAAUUCCAGCUCCAA